GGAGUAAAAGUCGUAACAAGGUCUCCGUAGGUGAACCUGCGGAGGGAUCAUUACAGAGUUCAUGCCCUACCGGGUAGAUCUCCCACCCUAUGUUAUUAUUACUUUGUUGCUUUGGCGGGCCGUUAGGCUCCGGCCCGACUACCGGCCCCGGCUGGUAAGCGCCCGCCAGAGGACCCAAAACCCUGAAUAUUAGUGUCGUCUGAGUACUAUAUAAUAGUUAAAACUUUCAACAACGGAUCUCUAGGUUCUG
rnacentral:misc_RNA from 1 species